ensembl:lncRNA
UGUCGACAAUAUAUAUUUAGGUUUUGCCUUUUAAUCUAUUCUUAAAGUUUCUGACUUAUAACUGAAGUAUUUAGACCAUUUAUACUUAAUGUGAUUAUAAUAUAGUUAGGCUUAAGUCUACCAUUUCGCUGUUUGUUCUUUUCUUCAGUUGAAAUUAAUUGUCCUUAAACUGGCCUUUGUUGUUUCACUCUAUGAAUGUGUAAAUUGUUAUUUGACAGAAGAUUGAAACGUACCCCAUGUGAAUUUCUGUAGCCCUUCCUCUGUAUGGCUUCCUUAAAUGGCAAUCUCCUAGAAAUUGUAGCCAUCUUUUUCUCCUCAAACUUUAUCAUCUGUCUCUUUAAGUCAUCUAGACUUUAAUAUUCUACUUGGGCCCCCACCCUGUGCGGAAAAAAGCUGAUAGCUCUAUAUGAUCAUACCUUUUGUUUUACUUCUCUCAGGGAUAAAUCCUACGCAGCCUGUUGUCCAAGUUCUGAAGACAAGUGUUUGAUACAAGUCCUAUAGCUGUACUUUUUUUUAAAUUGGAGUGUAGUUGAUUUGUAAUAAUUAUCCACAUUAGUUUCAGGUAUACAACAUGGUGAUUCAAUAUGGAUUAAUAGUCCAUGUAAAAUUAUUAUAAAAUAAUUACUAUAUUUUCCUAUGCUAUAAAGUAUAUCCUGUUGCUUAUUUAUUCUACACAGUGAUUUGUGUCUUAAUCCCUUACCCCUGUCUUACUGAUACUUCCUUCUCUCUCUCUACCGGUAACCACUAGUUUGGUCUCUAUAUCUGUGAAUCUGUUUCUAUUUUAUUUUAUUUAUUUAUUUUUAUUUCCCCAAUACAUUGUUUUUUUUUCUACUGUACAGCAUGGUGACCCAGUUACACAUACAUGUAUAUAUUCUUUUUUCUCACAUUAUCAUGCUCCGUCAUAAGUGACUAGACAGAGUUCCCAGUGCUCCACAGCAGGAUCUCAUUGCUAAUCCAUUCCAAAGGCAAUAGCCUGCAUCUAUUAACCCCAAGUUCCCCAUCCAUGCCACUCCCUCCCCCUCCCCCUUUAUUUUAUUAUACAUUCAUUUUGUUUUUUGCUUUUUUAAGAUUCUGUAUAUAUGUGAUAUUUGUCUUUCUCUGACUUAUUUCACUAAGCAUAAUACUCUCUAGGUCCAUCCAUGUUGUUGAAAAUGGCAAUUUCAUUCUUUUUUUUUUUUUUUGUCUUUUUAGGGCUGCACCCAUGGCAUAUAGAGGUUCCAAGGCUAGGGGUCAGAUCAGAGCUGUAGCUGCUGGCCUAAGCCACAGCCACAGCAAUGCGAGAUCCAAGCCAUGCCUGCGACCUGCACCACAUAGUUUGUGCCAAUGCCAUAUCCUUAACUCACUGAGCAAGGCCAGGAAUCGAACCUGAGUCCUCAUGAGCCACAAUAGGAACUCCUCAUUCUUUUUUUUUUUAUUUCAUCAUACACACUCACACACACACACACACACACACACACACACCCCACAUCUUCUUUAUCCAUUCAGCUAUUGAUGAGCAUUUAGGUGCUUCCAUAUGUUGCCUAUUGUAAAUAAUGCUACUGUUAAUACAGAGGUGUAUGUAUCCUUUCAAAUUAGUGUUUUCAUUUUCUUUGGAUAGGUGCCCAGCAGUAGAAUUGCUGGAUCACAUGAUAGUUCUAUUUUUAGUUUUUUGAAGAACCUCUAUAUUGUUUUCCCUAGGGCUAUACCAGUUUACAUUCCUGGCAACAGCGUAUGAGAGUUCUCUUUUGUCCACAUCUUCGCCAGCCUUUGUUAUUUGUAUAUUUUUGAUGAUAGGCAUUUUGACAGGUGUGAGGUGAUAUCUCAUUGUGGUUUUGAUUUGCAUUUCUCUGAUGAUGAGUGAUUUUUUUUUUUCUUGUGCCUAUUGACUGCAUGUUUUCUUUGGAAAGAUGUCUGUUUAAGGCCUCUUCCCAUUUUUUGAUUGGGUUGUUUUUUCGCUUUUGAGUUAUGUGAGUUGUUUAUAGAUUUUGGAUAUUAACCCUUUACGAGUUGUAUUAUUUGCAAAUAUUUUCACCCAUUCACUAUAGGUUGUCUUUUAAUUUUGGUGAUGGUUUCCUUUGCCGCACAAAAGCUUUUAAGUUUAAUUACUUUCCAUUUGUUUAUUUCUUCAUGGACAGAAAUGAAAUUGCCUUUUCUAAUUUCAAAACUGAUUUCUUAAUAAAAUAGCUCAUUUAGCUAUAGCUUAAUCUUUUUCUAUCACAAGUUUGAAAAUGUCAGUAUUUAUUUCUGUCACAUGUUGGAUUCCCUGAGAAUCACUGCAGUGAAAUUAUUUAACUACAGAUUUGAUGGAACAUAAACAAUAAACUAAAAGCCUUUUAAUAUAAAAUACUCAAAUAGAAGCACAGAGAUAAAAUGAUAAAAAAUACAAAAACAGAGAACUGAGAAUCAGUGAAAAAAAAAUUAACCAUAUAUGCUAUCGAACUCUAGGAAGGUAAGAGAAUAGGACAAAAGUAACAUUUGAACAGAUAAUGACAGUACUUCCUAAACUAAAACAGCACAUCAAGCCAUAGAUGUAAGAAGUUCUGCGAACCUGGAAAAGAACAAACCCAUAGAAAUUAUAUCAAGGCAUAUUAUAGCAAGCCUGCUAAAAAGUGAAGACACAGAGAAAAUAUUAAAAGCAGUCAGGAUAAAAGAGACAUUACCUUCAAAUGAGGACAACACUAAGACUUAAUUACUCAGUAGUACUGUGGAAACCAGAAGAAAAUGAAAAUAUCCUUCAAAUGCUGAAAGAAAAAAAA